rnacentral:tRNA from 2 species
GCAGCUGUGGCUGAAUGAUUACGGUGUUCGCUUUGUAAGCAAAUGGUUUUGGGUUCGAUUCCCAUCUGCUCCC